rnacentral:rRNA from 1 species
UGCCGCGUGUGUGAAGAAGGCCCUCGGGUUGUAAAGCACUUUCAGUGAGGAAGAACGCCUGAUGGUUAAUACCCGUCAGGAAAGACAUCACUCACAGAAGAAGCACCGGCUAACUCCGUGCCAGCAGCCGCGGUAAUACGGAGGGUGCAAGCGUUAAUCGGAAUUACUGGGCGUAAAGCGCGCGUAGGUGGCUUGAUAAGCCGGUUGUGAAAGCCCCGGGCUCAACCUGGGAACGGCAUCCGGAACUGUCAGGCUAGAGUGCAGGAGAGGAAGGUAGAAUUCCCGGUGUAGCGGUGAAAUGCGUAGAGAUCGGGAGGAAUACCAGUGGCGAAGGCGGCCUUCUGGACUGACACUGACACUGAGGUGCGAAAGCGUGGGUAGCAAACAGGAUUAGAUACCCUGGUAGUCCACGCCGUAAACGAUGUCGACCAGCCGUUGGGUGCCUAGCGCACUUUGUGGCGAAGUUAACGCGAUAAGUCGACCGCCUGGGGA